rnacentral:tRNA from 1 species
AAAUGGAUAGCUCAGUUGGUAGAGCAUCAGAUUUUUAAUCUGAUUGUCGAAGGUUCGAAUCCUUUUCCAAUCG